rnacentral:rRNA from 1 species
GGUUAAGUGACUAAGCGUACACGGUGGAUGCCUAGGCAGUCAGAGGCGAUGAAGGGCGUGCUAAUCUGCGAAAAGCGUCGGUAAGGUGAUAUGAACCGUUAUAACCGGCGAUACCCGAAUGGGGAAACCCAGUGUGUUUCGACACACUAUCAUGUCAUGAAUACAUAGUGGCAUGAGGCGAACCGGGGGAACUGAAACAUCUAAGUACCCCGAGGAAAAGAAAUCAACCGAGAUUCCCCCAGUAGCGGCGAGCGAACGGGGAGGAGCCCAGAACCUGAAUCGGCUUGUGUGUUAGUGGAAGCGUCUGGAAAGUCGCGCAGCAAAGGGUGAUAGCCCCGUACACUAAAAUGCACAGGUCGUGAGUUCGAUGAGUAGGGCGGGACACGUGACAUCCUGUCUGAAUAUGGGGGGACCAUCCUCCAAGGCUAAAUACUCCUGACUGACCGAUAGUGAACCAGUACCGUGAGGGAAAGGCGAAAAGAACCCCGGCGAGGGGAGUGAAAUAGAACCUGAAACCGUGUACGUACAAGCAGUGGGAGCACCUUCGUGGUGUGACUGCGUACCUUUUGUAUAAUGGGUCAGCGACUUAUAUUUUGUAGCAAGGUUAACCGUAUAGGGGAGCCGUAGGGAAACCGAGUCUUAACUGGGCGACUAGUUGCAAGGUAUAGACCCGAAACCCGGUGAUCUAGCCAUGGGCAGGUUGAAGGUUGGGUAACACUAACUGGAGGACCGAACCGACUAAUGUUGAAAAAUUAGCGGAUGACUUGUGGCUGGGGGUGAAAGGCCAAUCAAACCGGGAGAUAGCUGGUUCUCCCCGAAAGCUAUUUAGGUAGCGCCUCGUGAACUCAUCUUCGGGGGUAGAGCACUGUUUCGGCUAGGGGGCCAUCCCGGCUUACCAAACCGAUGCAAACUCCGAAUACCGAAGAAUGUUAUCACGGGAGACACACGGCGGGUGCUAACGUCCGUCGUGAAGAGGGAAACAACCCAGACCGCCAGCUAAGGUCCCAAAGUCAUGGUUAAGUGGGAAACGAUGUGGGAAGGCAUAGACAGCCAGGAUGUUGGCUUAGAAGCAGCCAUCAUUUAAAGAAAGCGUAAUAGCUCACUGGUCGAGUCGGCCUGCGCGGAAGAUGUAACGGGGCUAAACCAUGCACCGAAGCUGCGGCAGCGACGCUUAGGCGUUGUUGGGUAGGGGAGCGUUCUGUAAGCCGUUGAAGGUGGCCUGUGAGGGUUGCUGGAGGUAUCAGAAGUGCGAAUGCUGACAUAAGUAACGAUAAAGCGGGUGAAAAGCCCGCUCGCCGGAAGACCAAGGGUUCCUGUCCAACGUUAAUCGGGGCAGGGUGAGUCGACCCCUAAGGCGAGGCUGAAAAGCGUAGUCGAUGGGAAACAGGUUAAUAUUCCUGUACUUGGUGUUACUGCGAAGGGGGGACGGAGAAGGCUAGGCUAGCCGGGCGACGGUUGUCCCGGUUUAAGCGUGUAGGGGGUGUGACCUGGUAAAUCCGGUUGCAUAUCAACCCUGAGGCGUGAUGACGAUGCACUACGGUGCAGAAGUAGUUGAUGCCCUGCUUCCAGGAAAAUCCUCUAAGCUCCAGGUAACAUUAAAUCGUACCCCAAACCGACACAGGUGGUCAGGUAGAGAAUACCAAGGCGCUUGAGAGAACUCGGGUGAAGGAACUAGGCAAAAUGGUGCCGUAACUUCGGGAGAAGGCACGCUGGCAUGUAGGUGAAGUCCCUUGCGGAUGGAGCUGAAGCCAGUCGAAGAUACCAGCUGGCUGCAACUGUUUAAUAAAAACACAGCACUGUGCAAACACGAAAGUGGACGUAUACGGUGUGACGCCUGCCCGGUGCUGGAAGGUUAAUUGAUGGGGUCAGCCGCAAGGCGAAGCUCUUGAUCGAAGCCCCAGUAAACGGCGGCCGUAACUAUAACGGUCCUAAGGUAGCGAAAUUCCUUGUCGGGUAAGUUCCGACCUGCACGAAUGGCGUAAUGAUGGCCAGGCUGUCUCCACCCGAGACUCAGUGAAAUUGAACUCGCUGUGAAGAUGCAGUGUACCCGCGGCAAGACGGAAAGACCCCGUGAACCUUUACUAUAGCUUGACACUGAACAUUGAGCCUUGAUGUGUAGGAUAGGUGGGAGGCUUUGAAGCGUGGACGCCAGUCUGCGUGGAGCCAUCCUUGAAAUACCACCCUUUAAUGUUUGAUGUUCUAACUCGGCCCCGUAAUCCGGGGUGAGGACAGUGUCUGGUGGGUAGUUUGACUGGGGCGGUCUCCUCCCAAAGAGUAACGGAGGAGCACGAAGGUUAGCUAAUCACGGUCGGACAUCGUGAGGUUAGUGCAAAGGCAUAAGCUAGCUUGACUGCGAGAGUGACGGCUCGAGCAGGUACGAAAGUAGGUCUUAGUGAUCCGGUGGUUCUGAAUGGAAGGGCCAUCGCUCAACGGAUAAAAGGUACUCCGGGGAUAACAGGCUGAUACCGCCCAAGAGUUCAUAUCGACGGCGGUGUUUGGCACCUCGAUGUCGGCUCAUCACAUCCUGGGGCUGAAGUAGGUCCCAAGGGUAUGGCUGUUCGCCAUUUAAAGUGGUACGCGAGCUGGGUUUAGAACGUCGUGAGACAGUUCGGUCCCUAUCUGCCGUGGGCGUUGGAAGAUUGAGAGGGGUUGCUCCUAGUACGAGAGGACCGGAGUGAACGCACCACUGGUGUUCGGGUUGUCAUGCCAAUGGCAUUGCCCGGUAGCUAAGUGCGGAAAAGAUAAGCGCUGAAAGCAUCUAAGCGCGAAACUUGCCUCAAGAUGAGUCUUCCCUGGACCUUUAAGGUCCCUGAAGGAACGUUUAAGACUAAGACGUUGAUAGGCUGGGUGUGUAAGUGCAGCGAUGCAUUGAGCUAACCAGUACUAAUGAUCCGUGAGGCUUAACCUU